rnacentral:tRNA from 1 species
GCGGGAAUAGCUCAGUUGGUAGAGCAUCUGCUUGCCAAGCAGAAGGUCGCGAGUUCGAAUCUCGUUUCCCGCUCCA